rnacentral:rRNA from 1 species
GACGAACGCUGGCGGCGUGCUUAACACAUGCAAGUCGAACGGAAAGCCCCUUUCGGGGGGACUCGAGUGGCGAACGGGUGAGUAACACGUGGGUGAUCUGCCCUGCACUUUGGGAUAAGCCUGGGAAACUGGGUCUAAUACCGGAUAGGACUACGCACUGCAUGGUGUGUGGUGGAAAGCUUUUGCGGGGUGGGAUGGGCCCGCGGGCUAUCAGCUUGUUGGUGGGGUGAUGGCCUUCCAAGGGGACGACGGGUAGCCGGCCUGAGAGGGUGUCCGGCCACACUGGGACUGAGAUACGGCCCAGACUCCUACGGGAGGCAGCAGUGGGGAAUAUUGCACAAUGGGCGCAAGCCUGAUGCAGCGACGCCGCGUGAGGGAUGACGGCCUUCGGGUUGUAAACCUCUUUCAGCAUCGACGAAGCGCAAGUGACGGUAGAUGCAGAAGAAGCACCGGCCAACUACGUGCCAGCCGCCGCGGUAACAC